UCCCAUGUGGUCUAGCGGUCAGGACUCUUGGCUUUAACCCAGGCAACUCGGGUUCGACUCCCGGCGUGGGAA